rnacentral:rRNA from 1 species
AUUGAACGCUGGCGGCAGGCCUAACACAUGCAAGUCGGACGGUAGCACAGAGAGCUUGCUCUCGGGUGACGAGUGGCGGACGGGUGAGUAAUGUCUGGGGAUCUGCCCGAUAGAGGGGGAUAACCACUGGAAACGGUGGCUAAUACCGCAUAACGUCGCAAGACCAAAGAGGGGGACCUUCGGGCCUCUCACUAUCGGAUGAACCCAGAUGGGAUUAGCUAGUAGGCGGGGUAACGGCCCACCUAGGCGACGAUCCCUAGCUGGUCUGAGAGGAUGACCAGCCACACUGGAACUGAGACACGGUCCAGACUCCUACGGGAGGCAGCAGUGGGGAAUAUUGCACAAUGGGCGCAAGCCUGACGCAGCCAUGCCGCGUGUAUGAAGAAGGCCUUCGGGUUGUAAAGUACUUUCAGCGGGGAGGAGGGCGAUGUGGUUAAUAACCGCAUUGAUUGACGUUACCCGCAGAAGAAGCACCGGCUAACUCCGUGCCAGCCGCCGCGGUAA